CAGCCUUUGCAGAGUCUGGAAAAAGAGGGAGUCAUGACAGAGAUGAGAAGGGGGCUGUGGAAUGCAGUGUGCUCAUCAUGCAAGGCUCAGGUCUGCCUCCAUCACCCUGGCAACAUCACAAGGAGGUGAGGUUUACCUGUUCUACACUAGGCAGCUGGCCAUGCAGUAUCUGGAAUCUGCACUUCAUAGGUUCUGGGGGAGCCAUAAAGGCUAUGGUUAUGACCUCCAGAAGAUAGACCAGAAGUGAACACCAGACGGACUCUCUGAGGCUCCUCAAUGAAAACUGAGGCCCACUGGGAAAGUGAAGAAAAUCUCUGUAAUAAAGGCACA
rnacentral:lncRNA from 1 species